AUAGAUCUAAGACUUUCUAACUCUUUAAAUUAGAGUUAUUUAUUUUAAUGUAAAAUUAAUAUAUAGUAUUGUGAAAUAAUUAUGUAGAUUAUAUUGACAAAGAUAGUGGUGAAAAAGGAGUUGUGAAGGGGAACUUGUUAUUCAAGACACAAGGAGCGAAUCCGGCCGAGAAAGCACCAGAGGUGUAAUUAUGGUGUAUGAGACACCAUCUUUUACGUUGCCUCUUAUUUUGAAUUAUACAAUGUAUCUUGUGCCAACUUAGGACAUAUCUUGUCUAUGGAGCAUGUAAACUCUAAUCCUUUUUAUUAAAUGCAUUUAUAUGUCCAAAA